CGGAGGCAGCAGUAAGGAAUUUUGCGCAAUGGGGGAAACCCUGACGCAGCAACGCCGCGUGAGUGAUGAAGGCCUUCGGGUCGUAAAGCUCUGUCAGAGGGAAAGAAGUGUGGGGUGGCUAAUAUCCAUUUCACUUGACGGUACCCUCAAAGGAAGCACCGGCUAACUCCGUGCCAGCAGCCGCGGUAAUACGGAGGGUGCGAGCGUUGUUCGGAAUUACUGGGCGUAAAGCGCGUGUAGGCGGCUCCUUAAGUCUGAUGUGAAAGCCCCGGGCUCAACCUGGGAAGUGCAUUGGAUACUGGGGAACCUGAAUACGGGAGAGGGUAGUGGAAUUCCUGGUGUAGGAGUGAAAUCCGUAGAUAUCAGGAGGAACACCGGUGGCGAAGGCGGCUACCUGGACCGAUAUUGACGCUGAGACGCGAAAGCGUGGGGAGCAAACAGGAUUAGAUACCCCAGUAGUCC
rnacentral:rRNA from 1 species